rnacentral:misc_RNA from 1 species
AACUUUUAGCAAUGGAUAACUUGGCUCUCGCAUCGAUGAAGAACGCAGCGAAAUGCGAUAAGUAAUGUGAAUUGCAGAAUUCAGAGAAUCAUCGAAUCUUUGAACGCACCUUGCACCCUUUGGUAUUCCGAAGGGUAUGCUCGUUUGAGUGUCAUUGUACUCUCACACUCUCUGAUCUUUUUGGAUUCAGAGAGCAGUGGACUUGGGUGUUUGCUGCUUACCUUGCAGCUCACCUCAAAUGCGUCAGUGCAUCUCUUGGUUGGACAUAGUACGGCGUGAUAAGUAUCUUCGCCGGCACCUCGCAAGAGGGUGGCCGAUUGAGAGCUCUGUGCUUUCAAACCGUCUUCGGACAACUUUUGACAACUUGACCUCAAAUCGAGUAGGACUACCCGCUGAACUUAAGCAUAUCAAUAAGCGGAGGCU